GACGAACGCUGGCGGCGUGCUUAACACAUGCAAGUCGAACGGUGAAGCGCCUUCCUUUUUGGUGGGUGUGGAUGAGUGGCGAACGGGUGAGUAACACGUGAGUAACCUGCCCCCUUCUUCUGGAUAACCGCAUGAAAGUGUGGCUAAUACGGGAUAUUCUGGGUCUGUCGCAUGAUGGGUCUGGGAAAGAUAUUGUUUCGGUGGGGGAUGGGCUCGCGGCCUAUCAGCUUGUUGGUGGAGUGAUGGCCUACCAAGGCGGUGACGGGUAGCCGGCAUGAGAGGGUGGGCUGCCAUACUGGGACUGGGAGACGGCCAGGACGGCUACAGGAGGCAGCAGUGGAGAGUAAAGCACAAUGGGCGCAAGCCUGGUAGAACGAGGCCGCGUAAGAAGUGGAGGCCUUCGGGUUGUGAACCUCUUUCGCCAGAAAAGCAGGGCUGCCGCGUUUGUAGAUGGGUUGACGGUAGCUGGAUAAGAAGCGCCGGCUAACUACGUG
rnacentral:rRNA from 1 species